rnacentral:rRNA from 1 species
UGUAAAAUUUUAAAGGUCGAACAGACCUAAUAUUUUAGCUUCUACACCAAAAAUUUAUUUUAAUCCAACAUCGAGGUCGCAAUCUUUUCUUUUAAUAUGAACUCUCUAAAAAAAUUACGCUGUUAUCCCUAAGGUAAUUUUAUCUUAUAAUCAAAAAUAAUGGAUCAUUUAAUCAUAAAUAAAUGUUAAAAAAUAAAAAAAGUUUAAUAAAUUUUUCAAUCACCCCAAUUAAAUUAUUUAAUAAAUUAAAUAUAUAAAUACUAAAAUAUAAUUUUUAUUAAAUAAUAAAACUCUAUAGGGUCUUCUCGUCUUUUAAUAUUAAUUAAGCUUUUUAACUUAAAAAUAAAAUUCUAAUUAAAUUUAAUAGAGACAGUUAUUUUCUUAUUCAACCUUUCAUUCCAGUUCUUAAUUAAAAAACUAAUGAUUAUGCUACCUUAGCACGGUCAAAAUACCACGGCCAUUUAAAAAUUCAGUGGGCAGGUUAGACUUUAAAUUAUUUACAAAAAGAC